rnacentral:rRNA from 1 species
UACAGAGGGGGCAAGCGUUAUUCGGAAUUAUUGGGCGUAAAGGGCGCGUAGGCGGUUUCUUAAGUCAGAUGUGUAAUCCCCGAGCUUAACUUGGGAACUGCAUCUGAGACUGGGAGGCUAGAGUACUGGAGAGGGUGGUGGAAUUCCUCGUGUAGCGGUGAAAUGCGUAGAGAUGAGGAGGAACACCAGUGGCGAAGGCGGCCACCUGGACAGUAACUGACGCUGAGGCGCGAAAGUGUGGGUAGCAAAC